rnacentral:rRNA from 1 species
GAUGAACGCUAGCUACAGGCUUAACACAUGCAAGUCGAGCGACCGGCGCACGGGUGAGUAACGCGUAUCCAACCUGCCCUUUACUCGGAGAUAGCCUUCGAAAGACAGAUUAAUCCCCAAUAUAUAGGAUGGGGAGGCGUUCCAUUGGGGUGUUGGUGAGGUAACGGCUCACCAAGCCUUCGAUGCAGAGGGGUUCUGAGAGGAAGUCCCACGAGAUUGGAACUGAGACACGGUCCCAACUCGUACGGGAGGCAGCAGUGAGGAAUAUAGGGCAAUGGGCGCUAGCCUGAACCAGCCAAGUAGCGUGAAGGAUGAAGGCUUAUGGGUCGUAAUUUUCUGUGAUAUAAGAAUAGGUACUAUAUGAAUAAGGAUCGGCUAACUCCGUGCCAGCAGCCGCGGUAAUUC